rnacentral:rRNA from 1 species
UACGAGGGGGGCGAGCGUUGUUCGGAUUUACUGGGCGUAAAGGGCGCGUAGGCGGCUCAUUUUGUCAGGCGUGAAAGCCCCGGGCUUAACCUGGGAACUGCGUUUGAUACGGAUGAGCUAGAGUUCGGGAGAGGAGAGUGGAAUUCCCAGUGUAGAGGUGAAAUUCGUAGAUAUUGGGAAGAACACCGGUGGCGAAGGCGGCUCUCUGGACCGAUACUGACGCUGAGGCGCGAAAGCGUGGGGAGCAAACAGG